rnacentral:rRNA from 1 species
GGCGUGCUUAACACAUGCAAGUCGAACGGAAAGGCCCUUCGGGGUACUCGAGUGGCGAACGGGUGAGUAACACGUGGGUGAUCUGCCCUGCACUCUGGGAUAAGCCUGGGAAACUGGGUCUAAUACCGGAUAGGACCACACACUUCAUGGUGAGUGGUGCAAAGCUUUUGCGGUGUGGGAUGAGCCCGCGGCCUAUCAGCUUGUUGGUGGGGUAAUGGCCCACCAAGGCGACGACGGGUAGCCGGCCUGAGAGGGUGACCGGCCACACUGGGACUGAGAUACGGCCCAGACUCCUACGGGAGGCAGCAGUGGGGAAUAUUGCACAAUGGGCGCAAGCCUGAUGCAGCGACGCCGCGUGAGGGAUGACGGCCUUCGGGUUGUAAACCUCUUUCAGUAGGGACGAAGCGAAAGUGACGGUACCUACAGAAGAAGGACCGGCCAACUACGUGCCAGCAGCCGCGGUAAUACGUAGGGUCCGAGCGUUGUCCGGAAUUACUGGGCGUAAAGAGCUCGUAGGUGGUUUGUCGCGUUGUUCGUGAAAACUCACAGCUUAACUGUGGGCGUGCGGGCGAUACGGGCAGACUAGAGUACUGCAGGGGAGACUGGAAUUCCUGGUGUAGCGGUGGAAUGCGCAGAUAUCAGGAGGAACACCGGUGGCGAAGGCGGGUCUCUGGGCAGUAACUGACGCUGAGGAGCGAAAGCGUGGGUAGCGAACAGGAUUAGAUACCCUGGUAGUCCACGCCGUAAACGGUGGGUACUAGGUGUGGGUUUCCUUCCUUGGGAUCCGUGCCGUAGCUAACGCAUUAAGUACCCCGCCUGGGGAGUACGGUCGCAAGACUAAAACUCAAA